AUUCAGCUGAAGAGUCUCAAAUCAAACGAAACACGUGUCAAACUGGAU
rfam:Schistosoma mansoni strain Puerto Rico chromosome 4, complete genome